AUGCGCUUCUUUUCCAACCCACGCAAACCUGUGAUACUCGCUCUUGCCAGGCCAGAUCCUAAAAAGAACAUCACAACUUUGGUGAAAGCGUUUGGAGAAUGCCGUCCUCUUAGAGAGCUUGCUAACCUUACAUUAAUUAUGGGUAACCGAGACGAAAUUGAUGAAAUGUCAAGCACAAUUUCUUCUGUUCUUCUCUCAGUACUUAAGCUGAUUGACAAGUAUGAUCUGCACGGGCAGAAGAGGCAGCCGAGGCAGCUGCUCGGAAGUUAA